UCCGGCUUGUCGCCGGCGGUCCCUUUAGAGUGCCCAACUGAAUGAUGGCAACUAAAGGAGAGGGUUGCGCUCGUUGCGGGACUUAACCCAACAUCUCACGACACGAGCUGACGACAGCCAUGCAGCACCUGUCUCCGCGCCCCUUGCGGGGACCGCCCAUCUCUGAGCGUAGCACGGGAUGUCAAACCCUGGUAAGGUUCUGCGCGUUGCGUCGAAUUAAACCACAUGCUCCACCGCUUGUGCGGGUCCCCGUCAAUUUCUUUGAGUUUUAAUCUUGCGACCGUACUCCCCAGGCGGGAUGCUUAACGCGUUAGCUGCGCCACUGAGGGGUAACCCCCCAACGGCUAGCAAGCACCGUUUAGGGCUAGGACUAC
rnacentral:misc_RNA from 1 species